CCUACGGGAGGCAGCAGUGGGGAAUUUUGGACAAUGGGCGAAAGCCUGAUCCAGCAAUGCCGCGUGUGUGAAGAAGGCCUUCGGGUUGUAAAGCACUUUUGUCCGGAAAGAAAUGGCUCUGGUUAAUCACCUGGGGUCGAUGACGGUACCGGAAGAAUAAGGACCGGCUAACUACGUGCCAGCAGCCGCGGUAAU
rnacentral:rRNA from 1 species